UUUCCGUAGGUGAACCUGCGGAAGGAUCAUUACAAAUCUCGUGCGGAGGAUGGGGUUGGCUUGUGCGGGUGCGUAUAUGGGUGCUUAACUGCGCACAUGAUGCAUACCGUGCGGCCGACCGCACCGCCCACACAUUGGCACAGGGCCGCAAGGUCCUGAUGUUUACGCUUGUAUGUUUGACAGAGUUAUGGUAGCAAGAAAAAAAGACAACUUUUAACAAUGGAUCUCUUGGCUCUU
rnacentral:misc_RNA from 1 species